GUUCACAUACUAUAUUCAGUUACAGUAUAUGAACACAAGGUGUGUAUGGUAAUAGAAUGAGAUCACACCCUGCCUUCAAGUCUGCGACUUGCUUCUUCCUACAGUAACGUGUCAUGGACCACAUUCCAGUUUGGUCUAGAUACCCUGGCAGCAUGCUGUGGAUGUUUUUGUGGGUCGCUUUCCAUUUUUACCAGGAAAAGCAGUCUUGUGAUGAACAUGCUCUUGCGUAUACCUUUUCGAAUUUGUGCUAAUAUUUUAUAGAACAGAGUCCUAGAAAGUAGGUUUCUACAGAGUGAAGAUGAGGACAGCGGUUCAGCAGUGACUCUUCUGUGCCCUCUCUAGCCCCUCGGCCCCCACUCCAGGAAAAUGACCCUCCCUAGGUCCCCUAGUCCCCCCUCCCUCAGCUCGCCACCCCUCCCAGGACACGUCUAAUGGGUUGAGGCUGGGCAACUCAAAUGUCUCGUGCACGCAUGUGGCUGAAAUCAUCGAACCUGCCUUCGCUGUUGGUUCUCACAGGAGACAAAACGGAUUCAGCCGUUUGGGAUUUCAGGGUACACAUCCUGGGUUCAGCCCAUGCGUGAGCCUGUGUCGUGUGUCCACCUCGUACCUCGUAUGAGGCGAAAACUGCCUGCAGAUGAGAAAUGACUACUUUUCCUGCCCUUGGCCUUUUCACAGAGCUCCCAGUUUCAGAAAAUGAAGAAACCGAAACCCAGAGAGGGAAGUGGCCUACUCAGGGCCUGCCCCUUGCCGCCGGGUCAGGCUGGGUUUCUUGGACCCAGGGCAGGUGGGGACAGGGGUGGGGAGGUGGAAGUGGGUCACAGAGGUGGCCUAUAAGAGGCCACGCACAGGAGGGGCCGGAGCCAGCAUCAUUUCCAUUUCCCAGACUGUCGGACUCCUAAACCUCCCCUGUCCUUCCCCCCUUGACCUCUUUGAAAGUCUGAGAUCUGGGCUGCAGCUCUCAGGUUUGAGGUCACCAUCAGCUCCCCUCAGAGAGCAAUUCCACAAAGACUCUUCUUCCAGGAGAGCCCAAACCUGAAGUCCCCUCCCCAAGGCUGGAGGCCUGGCCUCCCCUCCACAUACAGCCAGUGAGACUUGCAGGCAGCCGGACGGGUCCACGUCCCACAGGGUUGGAACCGUGCACCUCUGGCCUCCACACUGCUUGGUGGGCAAACCUGGUGACUUCUCAAAGAUCACACAGGAUCCGAGUGGCGGUCCUUUGAAACCAAAACUGAUCAUGUCACUGCCACGUUUGAAGGACUCCAGUGGCUUCCUACAGCUCUCAGAUGAAGAGCACUUUCCGUUCGUUGGAUCCCAAGUUACUCCUUCGGAGAAGUUUUGCUUCCCAAGACCGUCCAAUGCAAAGCCAAGUAAUUGAAGACCAACUACUUCAAGGAGGAGUGGCUCUUUUUCAUUCACCAUUCUCUCCCAGUGUCUGGCACGUGGUGGAUGUUCAAUAAAUACUUGUUGGAUGAAUGGACUUGAUAGGUACUAAUUAUCUGAUUGCUUCCAUGAGCCAGCACAAUGCUGGGUAUGGGAGAACCCAGUGGAAUAAUGAAACAAAUGCAGGUUCUGAAAGGCUGGGGGGUAGUAGGCCAGGGAUGAGGCAGGUGGGGGGUUGGGUAAGUGCUAGAAUAUCAUUUCAAAGGGCUACAGGGACAUAAGUUUUGAGGUACCUUUGUGAUGCGGUUAAGUCAUUGCCUGAUGGUGUUUAAUCUUGCUGUUAAAUACAGACCCUGAAGAGAGGGGUCCUUUGCUUCUAUUUUUUGUCUCUCCCUCCCUGGACUCCUUGGCCUCCCUUUUAGCGUUUAGGCCAGGCCAGAUGUCUAUGGCAUGUAUGUUAAAGGGUUGGAUGAAUGGAUAAAUGGAUGGAUGGAUAGAUGGAUUGGAUGGAUGGAUGGAUUGACUAUAGGAUUGGAUGGAUAGAUGGAUAGGUGGAUUGGACGGGUAGACAGACGGACAAAUGGAUGGGAAGAUGGAUGGAUUUGAUGGAUGGAUGGAUAUAUGGUUUGAAUGGAUGGAGAAAUGGAUGAAUGGAUAGAUUAGAUGUGUGAAUGCAUUGGAUGGAUGGAUGGACUGACAAGUAGAUUGCAUAGAUAGAAUGAUAGGUGGAUUGGAUGGAUGGAUUAAGAAGUGGGUUGCAUGGAUAGAAUGAUAGGUGGAUUGGAUGGAUGGAUUGAGAAGUGGGUUGCAUGGAUAGAAUGAUAGGUGGAUUGGACGGAUGGAUGGAUGGAUUGGAUGGAUGGGUGGAUUGAAUGGAUUGAUGUAUGAAAUGGAUGGAUGAAUAGAUGAAUGAAAGAGCUAAGAGCUAAAAAAGCUGGCAGGGCCUCAGAGAUCUCUUAUCCACUCUCUGAUUUUUAAAAUGAGGAAACUGAAGUCUGAGAGAGUUGGAGAACAUCUUUAGUCAUUUCCUCUCUUUGAGAAUUUGUAUUGAAUUCUUCUCCUCAGUAUAUAAACAUGUUGAAAUA